rnacentral:rRNA from 1 species
AUUGAACGCUGGCGGCAGGCCUAACACAUGCAAGUCGAGCGGAUGAAGGGAGCUUGCUCCUGGAUUCAGCGGCGGACGGGUGAGUAAUGCCUAGGAAUCUGCCUGGUAGUGGGGGAUAACGUCCGGAAACGGGCGCUAAUACCGCAUACGUCCUGAGGGAGAAAGUGGGGGAUCUUUGGACCUCACGCUCUCAGAUGAGCCUAGGUCGGAUUAGCUAGCUGGUGGGGUAAAGGCCUACCUAGGCGACGAUCCGUAACUGGUCUGAGAGGAUGAUCAGCCACACGGGAACGUAGACACGGUCCAGACUCCUACGGGAGGCAGCAGUGGGGAAUAUUGGACAAUGGGCGAAAGCCUGAUCCAGCCAGGCCGCGUGUGUGAAGAAGGUCUUCGGAUCGUAAAGCACUUUAAGUUGGGAGGAAGGGCAGUAAGUUAAUACCUUGCUGUUUUGACGUUACCAACAGAAUAAGCACCGGCUAACUACGUG